AUUGAACGCUGGCGGCAGGCCUAACACAUGCAAGUCGAACGGUAACAGGAAACAGCUUGCUGUUUCGCUGACGAGUGGCGGACGGGUGAGUAAUGUCUGGGAAACUGCCUGAUGGAGGGGGAUAACUACUGGAAACGGUGGCUAAUACCGCAUAACGUCGCAAGACCAAAGAGGGGGACCCUCGGGCCUCUUGCCAUCGGAUGUGCCCAGAUGGGAUUAGCUUGUUGGUGGGGUAACGGCUCACCAAGGCGACGAUCCCUAGCUGGUCUGAGAGGAUGACCAGCCACACUGGAACUGAGACACGGUCCAGACUCCUACGGGAGGCAGCAGUGGGGAAUAUUGCACAAUGGGCGCAAGCCUGAUGCAGCCAUGCCGCGUGUAUGAAGAAGGCCUUCGGGUUGUAAAGUACUUUCAGCGGGGAGGAAGGGAGUAAAGUUAAUACCUUUGCUCAUUGACGUUACCCGCAGAAGAAGCACCGGCUAACUCCGUG
rnacentral:rRNA from 1 species